rnacentral:lncRNA from 1 species
GGCCCUGCUCCCUUAGGUUUGUGUGGACAUCCCGGGCUCGUCCAAGCUGCUCCUGGAGCUGCCCCUGGUCAUCGGCACCGUCCCCCUGCACCUUUUUGGCAGCCGCUCCUCCAGUGUGGGCAGCCACUCCGACUUCCUGCUGGACUGGGGGCUGGGCGCCCUGACUCAGCAGCCCGAAGCUCCUCCUGAGUAUUCCGACGUGGUGGCGGAGGAGGACGCAGCAGGCCCUGCACAGGGCCACUUCACACUGCUGCAGGAGGCCAUGAGCUUUGAAGGCCCCUACUUUGCUUACCUCCAGGAGUGCCGCUACCUCCCACCGCCCCUGUACUCUGAGGUACAUCCCGACACGUGUGGUGGCGCACACCUGUAAUCGCAGCACUCAGGGAGGCUGAGGCAGGAGGAUCGCUGCGAGUUCAAGACCAGCGUGGGCUCACAGUGAGUUCCAGGUCAGUCUCAACUACAUAGUGAGACCCUGUCUCAAAAAAACAAAGAAUAAGUACAUCCCACGCAGCACUCGCCCCGGCUGCCAUAUGGGAUAUACUUGCAUUACCCAGAAAAAUUUAAACUGGGUGCCUUGGUGCACAUCUCAGCGCUCUGGGAGGCUGAGGCAGGAGGGUCCCAAGGUCAAGCCCAUCCUAGUCAAUUUAGCGAGACCCUGUCUCAAAAUAAAAACGACUUACAAAAGGGAGGGGAGGUAGCUCAGUGGAAAUGCCCUAGGUGCAAUCCCAGUACUUAGAAACAAAACCAAACACACAGGGCCUUGGUGGACUGAGGUGAAGGAGCGCGAUUCCGUCCGGGCUGUGGGGGGUGGGGGGGUGGUGCCCCCCGCCCUGCCUGUGCGCACCCAGAGACUUUCCCUGACCCCAGACCUCCCGCUGGCCCGGCCCUGGAAGCCGGGCCGGAGUGGCUGCCUCAAGGGCAGCAGGGGCCUUGACCUUCACAGCUCAGGCCGGGUUUAGGCCGGUUGGGCCAGACAGGCGUUGGCUGAAGUUUCAGGGAGCUGGGGCCGCAGCCCGGCCCAAACGCUAUGAUAGGGGAGAGAACCCAG